rnacentral:rRNA from 1 species
UACGGAGGAUGCAAGCGUUAUCCGGAAUGAUUGGGCGUAAAGCGUCCGCAGGUGGCUGUGUAAGUCUGCUGUUAAAGAGCAAAGCUCAACUUUGUAAAAGCAGUGGAAACUACACGGCUAGAGUGCGUUCGGGGCAGAGGGAAUUCCUGGUGUAGCGGUGAAAUGCGUAGAGAUCAGGAAGAACACCGGUGGCGAAAGCGCUCUGCUAGGCCGCAACUGACACUGAGGGACGAAAGCUAGGGGAGCGAAUGGG